UGACUGAGUGGCGGACGGGUGAGUAACGCGUGGGUAACCUACCUCAUACAGGGGGAUAACAGUUGGAAACGGCUGCUAAUACCGCAUAAGCGCACAGUACCGCAUGGUACCGUGUGAAAAACUCCGGUGGUAUGAGAUGGACCCGCGUCUGAUUAGCUAGUUGGUGGGGUAACGGCCUACCAAGGCGACGAUCAGUAGCCGACCUGAGAGGGUGACCGGCCACAUUGGGACUGAGACACGGCCCAAACUCCUACGGGAGGCAGCAGUGGGGAAUAUUGCACAAUGGGGGAAACCCUGAUGCAGCGACGCCGCGUGAGCGAUGAAGUAUUUCGGUAUGUAAAGCUCUAUCAGCAGGGAAGAAAAUGACGGUACCUGACUAAGAAGCCCCGGCUAACUACGUGCCAGCAGCCGCGGUAAUACGUAGGGGGCAAGCGUUAUCCGGAUUUACUGGGUGUAAAGGGAGCGUAGACGGCAUGGCAAGCCAGAUGUGAAAGCCCGGGGCUCGACCCCGGGACUGCUUUGGAAACUAUGCAGCUAGAGUGUCGGAGAGGUAAGUGGAAUUCC
rnacentral:rRNA from 1 species